rnacentral:lncRNA from 1 species
UAAAUAAGAAAAUAUUUUAUAUUCCUAUAUUCUAAGAAUAAUAUUAAUUUCUAUAAUUGUUUUAUUAUGUCGGGUAGCACCAGACAGUAAUUUUGUUGCCAGAAAGAACGAUAUAUCAAACAUCUUUUUUUUUUUGUCGUCUAGAUUUAUUAUUAAUUGCAAAUUAUGAGAACUGUUAUAUAGACGAUUCUACAACUGACAAUUCCUUCCGACCCUUACUAGAUUCACGACAGACUACACUUCCUUCUUCGUAAUCUUGAUGAAUACCUUCAAUGAUCCACAACCUGGCGACACUUCCUUCUCUGCGUAGAAUCCUGGCGAACGGCUAUAAUUGUACAUCGCUGGAGAUCUCUUGCACACUUGCCUCCAUUAAUCUGCAAAUUUGUUAAUAAAUCGCAAUACCUGGGACUCGAACCCCAGACCUUUUGGUGUAGAAGCAUUAAUCAACCCUUGGUCAACCAAUGGGCCAAGGAGGCUU